AUGGACUCAAUGCCUUUAAUACGAGGUGUUUUAUUGCGAAAUGACGACUCGCCUUAUCAAAACAACCGAGAAUUCGCAACGAGAAUUUCUUAUCCUAGCCCUGAGUCACCGUCUCCUCAAGUACCCGAUAUCACAGAGACCAGCGCUGGUCUGGAGUGGUUUGAAAUGGGCCUAGCGACCUCAUCUGGUCCCGCGAGGAGCACAACAGACCAGGGAGUGCCGCGGUCUCCUUAUGUCACUGGAUCAGUCAGCACCCAAAACUCUCCACUCAGCAACUUUGCAGUUCCAUCCACCCCAGUGCAGAGCUGGGGGAUCCCCCUUAAUCUGGAGGAGGAUCCAUGGACGGCUAGUCCUACACAGCGCAGAACACAACCAUCCCCCCUGGCUCAAACUGUCCCUGUUAUCAGAGAGAGGGGGGUUUAUGCACUAGCCCAGCCAGUGAGAAGCGGAUCUGAAGAGGACCUAUCCAGUAAAGAAGGAUCUCUCUGAUUGGCUCAGUUUCAACGGUCCAUCGGACGUACUCAGGCUUGGCGUCGGGUUCAGAACAGGAGCAGAGCAGCAGGACAGGCUGACCAGGAUAGGCAGUCAUCUGUGUCACUUCAGGGCCUGACAGAGUACAGCCUAUAGAAACAGACAGCACAGAGACAGACCAGUGUGAGGGGGAGGUAGUGCUGUAAUUGUCACCUAUAGACCAAGUACCUUUGACAGCCUGUCAGGAUGUGCUGUAGCAGGCCACACCCACACGGAUAAUGCAAAAAACAAAAAUGGUUGUUGAUAUGGUAAAAAAAAAAGUGAGUCAAAGGCCCCAUUUUUACCAUUAUGUUGAAAUAUAUGACACUUUGGACUGUAUUGAAAUGCAGUAAACAUUAUACACAAAAAGUGGUCAUUUCAAAUAACACUUGGAGUGCAGAUUUUUCAUAUUGAUGUUUCAAUUUGAUGUAAUAAUGUGCAUUCAUUGUUGUUAGAGCUAUCCAAAUUAUUAUAAAAGCCAGUUGAGAGGUGCACCUAUUUAUUCUUGUCACACCACAAGCAUAUGUUCAGACUUAUCUGCAGCGAUGUGAUGGACUGAGCUGAUUAGACACAGACAUCAACAUGGUGACUGUCCUCUCCAAUCCAAAAAACAUACUGUACUUAUAGUGCAAAAUCUCAAUCUAUUCACUACUCUAUAUUCUAGUGAGAUACUGUAAGUAGACCCGGCUAAGCAGCAUGUAGUUUUAUCAUAAGAGGUGAAGAGAAGUGAAAUGCUAAUUUUAGGAAAUGACAAGGGAUUAGAUCGGUUUAAACCACAUUCUGUACUAUUUACAUGGCCACUGAAUGUUUAUCUAGUCUAAAAGUUUAUUUUAAAUAUCUGUCAUUUGUCUUAAUCGGUACAGUAAAAAAUGUAAAACACGGU
rnacentral:lncRNA from 1 species